rnacentral:rRNA from 1 species
GACGAACGCUGGCGGCGUGCUUAACACAUGCAAGUCGAACGGAAAGGCCCUGCUUUUGUGGGGUGCUCGAGUGGCGAACGGGUGAGUAACACGUGAGUAACCUGCCCUUGACUUUGGGAUAACUUCAGGAAACUGGGGCUAAUACCGGAUAGGAGCUCCUGCUGCAUGGUGGGGGUUGGAAAGUUUCGGCGGUUGGGGAUGGACUCGCGGCUUAUCAGCUUGUUGGUGGGGUAGUGGCUUACCAAGGCUUUGACGGGUAGCCGGCCUGAGAGGGUGACCGGCCACAUUGGGACUGAGAUACGGCCCAGACUCCUACGGGAGGCAGCAGUGGGGAAUAUUGCACAGUGGGCGGAAGCCUGAUGCAGCAACGCCGCGUGCGGGAUGACGGCCUUCGGGUUGUAAACCGCUUUCGCAUGUGACGAAGCGUGAGUGACGGUAAUGGGUAAAGAAGCACCGGCUAACUACGUG